rnacentral:rRNA from 1 species
UACAGGGGGAGCAAGCGUUGUUCGGAUUUACUGGGCGUAAAGGGCGCGUAGGCGGUCAGCACAAGUCAGUUGUGAAAUCUCCGAGCUUAACUCGGAAAGGUCAACUGAAACUGUGCGACUAGAGUGCGGAAGGGGCAACUGGAAUUCUUGGUGUAGCGGUGAAAUGCGUAGAUAUCAAGAGGAAGACCAGUGGCGAAGGCGGGUCUCUGGACAGUUCCUGACACUGAGACACGAAGGCCAGGGGAGCAAACGGG